rnacentral:rRNA from 1 species
AUGGUUGGGAGCAGCCCGAUGCAGGCGGUGCUGGUGGCGCCGGGGGUGAAGGACAAGAAGGUGCUCGCGUUCCGCCGGGACGCGCUCAAGGAGAAGGACGCCGUCGCCGCGCUCAUGCGCACCAUCGCGGCCGGCGGCGUGCGGAGCGCCUUCUACGUCUUCGACCUCGCCCGGGUCGUCGACCUGUACCGCGGCUGGCGCCGCGCGCUCCCCGGCGUGCGCGCCUGCUACGCCGUCAAGUGCAACCCGGAGCCGGCGCUACUCGGCGCGCUGGCCGCGCUCGGGGCCGGCUUCGAGUGCGCCAGCCGCAGGGAGAUCGAGGCUGUGCUCGCUCUCGGCGUGCAGCCCGGCAGCAUCGUGUACGCCAACCCGUGCAAGCCGGAGGCGCACCUCGAGUACGCCGCUGAGGUGGGCGUCAACCUCACCACCUAUGACUCCGAGGAGGAGGUGGUCAAGGUCAAGCGCUGCCACCCGGGCUGCGAGCUCAUCCUCCGCGUCAAGGGCCCCGACGGUGGCGAGGCCCGGGUGGACCUCGGCACCAAGUACGGCGCGCACGCGGACGAGGUCCUGCCGCUCCUCCGCGCUGCCCAGCGCGAGGGGCUCAACGUGGCCGGCGUGUCAUUCCACGUCGGCAGCGGCGCGUCCAACACGGACGUGUACCGGGGCGCCAUUGAGGCCGCGCGCGGGGUCUUCGACGCGGCAGCCGGGCUCGGCAUGCCGCCCAUGCGCGUGCUCGAUAUCGGCGGCGGGUUCAUGGCCGGCCCGGCGUUCGACGAGGCGGCCGCGGUCAUCAACGCGGCGCUCGAGCGCUACUUCGGGGAGCUUCCCUGCGUGGAGGUGAUAGGCGAGCCGGGGAGGUACUUCGCCGAGACCGCCUUCACGAUGGCGGCUCGGGUCAUCGGGAAGCGCACUCGCGGCGAGGUACGCGAGUACUGGAUCGACGACGGCCUCUACGGCACCCUCAGCUGCAUCCCCAUGGACCACUACGUGCCGCACCCGAGGCCGCUCGCCGUGCCGCGCGCCGGCGAGAAGACGUACACGUCGACGGUGUUCGGGCCGACGUGCGACUCCCUCGACACGGUGGUGACCGGGUACCAGCUGCCAGAGAUGAGCGUGGGGGACUGGCUCGUGUUCGACGACAUGGGCGCCUACACCACCGCCUCCGGCUCCAACUUCAACGGCUUCUCCACCUCGGACAUCAAGACUUACUUGGCCUACUCCAGCUGA